rnacentral:rRNA from 1 species
UACAGAGGGGGCCAGCGUUAUUCGGAAUUAUUGGGCGUAAAGGGCGCGUAGGCGGCCAUGCGUGUCUUCCGUGAAAUCCCUCGGCUUAACCGGGGAACUGCGUCUGAUACUGGAUGGCUUGAGUUCGGGAGAGGGAUGCGGAAUUCCAGGUGUAGCGGUGAAAUGCGUAGAUAUCUGGAGGAACACCGGUGGCGAAGGCGGCAUCCUGGACCGACACUGACGCUGAGGAGCGAAAGCCAGGGGAGCAAACGGG